AUUGAACGCUGGCGGCAGGCUUAACACAUGCAAGUCGAACGAGUGGCGGACGGGUGAGUAAUGCUUGGGAAUCUAGCUUAUGGAGGGGGAUAACUAUGGGAAACUGUAGCUAAUACCGCGUAACAUCGGAUGCGCCCAAGUGGGAUUAGGUAGUUGGUCAGGUAAAGGCUCACCAAGCCGACGAUCUCUAGCUGGUCUGAGAGGAUGACCAGCCACACGGGGACUGAGACACGUCCCAGACGCCUACGGUAGGAAGCAGGGGGGAAUAUUGCGCAAUGGGGGCAACCUGACGCAGCCAUGCCGCGUGAAUGAAGAAGGCCUUCGGGUUGUAAAGUUCUUUCGGUAGCGAGGCGUUAACUACAGAAGAAGCACCGGCUAACUCCGUGCCAGCAGCCGCGGUAAUAC
rnacentral:rRNA from 1 species